UACGUAGGGUGCGAGCGUUAAUCGGAAUUACUGGGCGUAAAGCGUGCGCAGGCGGUUGCGCAAGACAGAUGUGAAAUCCCCGGGCUCAACCUGGGAACUGCAUUUGUGACUGCACGGCUAGAGUGCGGCAGAGGGAGAUGGAAUUCCGCGUGUAGCAGUGAAAUGCGUAGAUAUGCGGAGGAACACCGAUGGCGAAGGCAAUCUCCUGGGCCUGCACUGACGCUCAUGCACGAAAGCGUGGGGAGCAAACAGG
rnacentral:rRNA from 1 species